rnacentral:tRNA from 1 species
GGGUCGUUAGCUCAGUUGGUAGAGCAGUUGACUUUUAAUCAAUUGGUCGCAGGUUCGAGCCGAGUGAAACGAGACAACA